rnacentral:tRNA from 1 species
GCCCCCGUAGUGUAGAGGCCAAGCAUAGGGCCCUUUCAAGGCCUUGACCCGAGUUCGAAUCUCGGCGGGGGCA